GCUUAGAUAGCUAAUUAAAAGCAUUGGUCUUGUAAGCCAAAGAUUGUAGUUUAACCACUGCUCCAAGCU
rnacentral:tRNA from 1 species